GUUUCAAAUAUUGAGUGGAAAAUUCGUUUUCAUUGAAAACAUCUAAUUUUCUAAUAUGUAUAUAAGAGAGGUUGAUUCUCUUUGCUGAUAUUAUCCACAAUGCACAUUAACGCUCAUGUUGAGACAUCUUCAAGUCGGCAAUGUUGCGAGGACCCAGAAAUGGUGGGCGUACGAGAAAGAGCUGAUUCUGAUGGCAUUGUGGCAUAUGUUUCGCCACCUCAAGCCCCUGCCAAGGCAAAGUAGCUGGUGAAGGAGAGUGAGUGACGUACACAUCCUUCAGAAAGGACAACAUCUACUAGGCUAUAUAAUGGACUGAGACUAUGAAGCCCCAGAGCUGGUUGAGGAAGAACUGGCAGUGGGUGGUUGGGGGAUCUUUUCUUGGCAUCCAUUUAACCACCUGGCUCAUGCAGAGGGCUAUGAGAAGCGUCGCUCGCUCUGAGAUGUCACUGAAAGAGAAGGAUUCCCAGGAGUGACUGGUGGUAAGGCGUUUUGCCGGUGGACUACUAUAUUUUUAACGACUCACGUGUGGAGUAAAUGGAAUUGAACUCUGAACUCAAGAUAAUGAUGUAAUUACCUGUGCUUGAUUAGCUGCAAAUGUUAUUCCUCUGUUAGAGAUCAAAUUAAACUAUGAAUUUCACAAUAAGUCAAACUGCAGAGUAACAUGCUAACAGGUGUGCGGAGUAUGAACAUCUUUCACCCAGGGAAGAUCAGGGCUGCAUUUCAAAACACUUUACAGACAGACAUCACAUAAUCGGUUACAUUUAAAAUGUCAGUCAUGAAAGCAAACAUUUGAUUCUUCCCAUUGAAACAAAAUUUGAGAUUAUAUUAAAUUCGACCAAGGAGUGGGCUUAAGUACCAUCGCAAUUGAGUGCAAUAUUUUUUUUAUUUAACCUUUAACUAAGCAAGUCAAUAUUGGGACCUCCAUUCUUAACACGUUCCAUCUUCAACAUCUUUAAAGCUGUUUUCACUUUAUCGUGCUGACCCAAACUGUACUGUGCUGGUUCAGAGAUUUUAUUUUCACAUGCUCCUUUCCAGCAUGGUUCCAGAAAACGACGGUGAAUGCGUAACCAGGCCAGCGCAACACAGCUCGGCUGGAUCAGUAAGGUGGAAAGAGUUUCAUCGUUUCCGUCAUCAGCAUUGCUCUUUCUCCAGAUCAGUGCCAAUGAUGGAAAUUAAAAAGCCACCUUGGAUUGAAAUAUUAAUGUGGCCAAUGUCUGCUUUUAGUGGACUAUCAUGUUGUUGCGCUCUCUAAAACAUGAUACCCACAUGAAAAAGCUUAUACUGCCCUCUAGGGUUAGAAUAAGAGGAUUACAACUACUGUCAUG